UGGGUGCGAUAAUAAUAGAAGGAACAGAAUAGACGCACCUUCCGUUAUUUUCAGGGUGUAUCGAUACAAUGAUGGACCUUAGAUGCAUAGGCGGGUGUGUGCCGUUAUUUUUUCUGGCUAUUGGUUUUGAUGUUAUUGGUUUCAUUAUCCUGUUCAUUGGAAUUUUUGCCAAUUUGCGUAUCGAUGGCAGGUUUUAUGGCGAUUUCUUGAUUUACAGUGGUUCAAUUAUAAUUUUCAUAAGUUUGGCUUGGUGGAUUAUGUGGUACGUGGGAAAUAUACAGGUCUCAGAAGACAGCUUUGGAACAAGCUUAAUGAAAAAGAAACGGAGUUUUGUACAGUUGGCCAGAAAGUUGUCAGAGAGGCUUUCCAAAAAAUGCAAACCUGAACAUGUAACCACAAAGUAUCCCGAGGAAAACAAGGUUAAAGCUGUGACGCCUUCACCUGUUCACGUCGCCUCUCGAAUAACCUGGGGGAAAUCAUUCGGUUAUCAGAAUGGUGGCUACGACUCAAGCUUGAACUCCUUUUCGAUGGAGAAGGAAAAACAGACACCAGAUAUACAGAACUUGGAUGUGCAGACCCUCGCUAGGGGUAAUGUUGAAAGGCUGUUCUGAUUGUUCUCCGUAGCACUUUCUGAUCCCAAGACUACCUUCAACACUGUACGCUUCACGGAAUGGGACUACAGACAAUUCAGGACAUUAAUCAGUACUGCUCUGGACGUCAGUUCUUGACAACAAAGACCAUAAGAUCAUUAUGGGGUGAAAUGACACAUAGUCCUAGGGGUAUAGGCCUACUGUAGAUAUUGCUCUGAAUGCAUAUUAUAUUGUUUUAGUUUUUUAUUUAUAUAUCAUUUAUUAAUAUAAUCGCCAUGUGAUAUGUGAACAUUUUAUGUUAUAGGAUCAAUAUUAUGUGGAAAGGCUAUAUUUUGUCAUAUAAACAUACCGACAUGUUAAGGCCCAUCAUAGCCUUUUUCUAGAAUAGUCUCAGACGGAAAUCCCAGAGGCCCCUGUCUGAACGGCAGGUAAUUGAACACAGGCUCUCUUCAAGCCAGACCCAGAAAUGCAAUCAUCUGCAUUUACAAUUGUUGACACUACAUAAAAACAGUAGUCAGGCAGGUUUGCCUGUGCCACAACAAUUGCAUUGCCAAAGCAGGCCGUAAACCCUCAACAAAACGUUGUGUGGCCUGGGGCACUGAGCUUGGUUUCACCUGCAUGUUGACAUUACAUGGACAUUUGGGCUAUACUCGUUUAACUGUUCACUGAGUAGGCUGAUUUAGUUUUUAUUCAUGUGCACAAACUUCUAAAAUGUAAAUUCCACCAGACAGCAUUUUUUUUAAUGUUGUGAUUUAUUUCAUAUUUUAUUUCUUAAUAUUCUUUAGAUUUCAGUUGCCUUACCAACAUAUAGCUUUUGUCUAACAUGACUGAUAAUGAGCGUGUGCAUAUCAAGUCAUUGUACUCAGGGCGUUGCCUGUCUGUAUGCUAAUGUUACCUAAUCCUGGCCUGUUGACUCUGCUUUGCGGUCCUUGGUUGAAUAGGUAUUGCACAGAGGUAAACCAAACUCCCACGACUGUCUGACUGGUCAAACAAGGUACUUAAAGGGAGAGGUUUUUCACUGCAGUUCCUCUUUCUGUCGUGAUGUAGGAAGCAUGAAAUAGUAAAUAAUUGUGGAAUGCAUCCAGCAGACUAAAUAUAAACUGCUGAUAGAAUCAUUGAAAUAUAUCUUCCCAACAUACAGUAUCUUUUUCCACACUGUUCAUAAUGUUACAUGUUAUACAUAUAUGCUGAUGUCAUAUUUUUCAUAUCAAAUGCAUUAUUAUUUUAUACACAGAUGCAUGGUGCAUUAGAUUUUUAUUUAUUUUAAAUAUACAUCCAAUGAUCUUGAUAAGCAUCCAAAAUAAAAAUAGUUAUCUAAUGAGAUGA